ACCAGCAUGGCAUUGUGGUUUGAGUGUUGGACUGUGACUCUAGAAACCAGGGUUCAAAUCCCUGCUUGGUA